rnacentral:rRNA from 1 species
UAACUGGGCGUAAAGGGCACGCAGGCGGUGACUUAAGUGAGGUGUGAAAGCCCCGGGCUUAACCUGGGAAUUGCAUUUCAUACCGGGUCGCUAGAGUACUUUAGGGAGGGGUAGAAUUCCACGUGUAGCGGUGAAAUGCGUAGAGAUGUGGAGGAAUACCGAAGGCGAAGGCAGCCCCUUGGGAAUGUACUGACGCUCAUGUGCGAAAGCGUGGGGAGCAAACAGGAUUAGAUACCCUGGUAGUCCACGCUGUAAACGAUGUCGAUUUGGGGGUUGAGCUUUAAGUUUGGCGCCCGUAGCUAACGUGAUAAAUCGACCGCCUGGGGAGUACGGCCGCAAGGUUAAAACUCAAAUGAAUUGACGGGGGCCCGCACAAGCGGUGGAGCAUGUGGUUUAAUUCGAUGCAACGCGAAGAACCUUACCUACUCUUGACAUCCAGAGAACUUUCCAGAGAUGGAUUGGUGCCUUCGGGAGCUCUGAGACAGGUGCUGCAUGGCUGUCGUCAGCUCGUGUCGUGAG